UAAGGAAUAUUCUACAAUGGGCGAAAGCCUGAUAGAGCAAUACCGCGUGAGGGAUGACUGCCUACGGGUUGUAAACCUCUUUUCUCAAGGAGGAAGAACUGACGUUACUUGAGGAAUAAGCAUCGGCUAACCCUGUGCCAGCAGCCGCGGUAAUACAGGGGAUGCAAGUUUUAUUCGGAAUUAUUGGGCGUAAAGCGUCUGCAGGUUGACAUAAAAGUCUUUUGUUAAAUAUCAGAGCUCAACUCGGAAUCUGCAAAAGAUACUAUAUGUCUUGAGUAUGGUAGAGGUAAGGGGAAUUUCCAGUGGAGCGGUGAAAUGCGUAGAUAUUGGAAAGAACACCGAUAGCGAAG
rnacentral:rRNA from 1 species